GUUAAUAAAUUGUUCUUGUUGUUUUCCAGGAUGGCUGCACCCCACUUUUACUUGCCCUAAAGGAAAACAAACAUCAUAUGGCAGAAUUUUUAAUUAAGGCGAAAGCAAAUAUAUAUGCGGUUGACAUGAGAGGAAGGUAUAGUAAUUUAUUCUUUAAAAACACUCACUCAGGCCAAACAUUAAAUUAAUGGGAAGGAGAAUAUUAAUUUAUACAUAUUGCAUUAGAGUGAAAAAUAUGAACACAAACCAUGUUUUAGGUAGAAAUAGUUGAUUUUGUUGUUCACAUAUGUUAUGGUUUGGAUAUGAGGUAUUCCCCAAAAUUCACCUGUGAGACAAUGCAAGGAGGUUCAGAGGAGAAAUAAUUGAGUUGUGAGAGUCUUAACCCAAUCAGUGAAUUAAUCCCCUGACAGGGAUUAACUGAUUAAGGGAGUGGUAACUGAAGUGUGGUAGGGUGUGGCUGGAGGAGGUAGGAAUUGGGGGCAUGGCUUUAGGGUAUAUAUGUUUGUGUCUGGCAAGUGCAGACCUCUCUCUGCUUCCUGAUCACCAUGAUGUGAGCUGCUUCCCUCUGCCAUAAUCUCUUGCCAUGAUGCUCAGUUUCACCUUGAGCCCCUGGAAAUGGAGCUGUCUUCUAUGGACUAAGACCUAUGACACCAUGAGUACUUGAAUAAACAUUUUCUCUUCUACAGUUGUGCUGGUUUGGUCCUUUAGUCAUAGUUGUUAAAAAGCUGACUAAAUCAGCAUGAUCAUAUAUGACCAAAAGUUUUAAAUAAGUAUAGAUUUUGGCAUUUUUGCUUCAAUAAUGAAUUUCUUAACCUCUGUAUUGAAUUUUAACUUCCAUUUUUUAUGCUUUUCCUUAAAAUGGUAUAUUGAGCAUAAAUAGGCUUUGAUAAUCUUUCUUUUUCCUUUUGGAUGGCUCUAAAUUUGCUUUGUUUGAAGAAUAUUGAUAUUAACUUAUUCCUAAUUGAACAUUAAUUGCUGUUGCUAGAUGUUGUUCAUUUUCUAAUAUAUUUUGAUGCUAUUCUUCCCUUUUUUCAAGGUUUUUUAUUCUAAUUAGUUAUGCAUAGCAGUAGAAAGCUCUUCAAUUUAUUAUACACAAAUGGAGCAGAAUUUUCCACUUCUCUCAUUAUGCAUGGAAGUAGGAUCACACCAUUCGUGCAAUUGUGGAUGUAAUGAUGUCCAAAUCUUUCCACUGUCUUUCUUAUGCCUUUAUUCCCUCACUCCUCCCCUUUGCCCAAUCCAAGGUUCCUCCAGUCAUCCCAUGCUUCCCCUAUAUGGAUUAGCAUCCAUUUAUCAGAGAAAACAUUUGCCCCCACUUUUUUGAAAUUGGCUUAUUUUUUUAGCAUAAUUUUCUCCAACUCCAUCCAUUUACCUGUAAAAGUCAUAAUUUUAUUCUCUUUUAAUUGUAAUAUUAUGUUGUAUAUAUGUACCACAGUUUAUUCAUCCAUUCAUCUAUUGGAGGGCAUCUAAGUUGCUUCCACAGUUUAGCAAUUGUGAAUUGUGUUGCUAUAAACAUUGAAGUGGCUGUAUCACUGUUUUAAGUUUGCUGUUUGAAGUCUUUAGGUUAUAGACUGAGGAAUGGAAUAGCUGUGUCCAAACGUGGUUCCAUUCCAAGUUUUCUAAGGAAUGUCCAUACUGCUGUCCAGAUUGGUUGCACCAAUUUUCACUCCCACCAUCAAUGUAUGAGUGUGCCUUUCUUCCACAUCUUUGCCAACAAUUAUUGUUGCUUGUCUUCUUGAUAACUGCCAUUUCUGACUGGAGUGAGAUGAAAUCGUAGAUGAUUCACAUGCUUUUCUUUUUCUUAAAUACAUUUUUUUUUUAGUUGGAGAUGGGCACAAUAGCUUUAUUUUAUGCAUUUUUUUCCCUGUGGUGCUGAGGAUCGAACUCAGUGCCUCACAUGUGCUAGGCAAAUGCUCUACAACCCCAGCUCUGAUGCUUUUAUUUCUAAUUGGCAAGGGCUGAGGGAAGAAAAAAAGCUUUACUGGCACAAACAUUUCCUUUAAUGAAUAAAUAGGUGUGUGGUGAAGAGAAAGAAGAUAAGCUUUAAAUUCUCACAUGACUAUGUUGCAUUUCUAGCUUUCCUAGUUACAAAGUGUGACACUUUGGAAACAUUACUUAUCACUAAAUAUAUUUCCUGAUAUGAAAAAGAAUGAAACAUGUUUGAAGGGUUGUACUAAGAUGAUACAUAUAGCAUGAUUGUAAUCCUUAUCAAAUGCUUGUUUUCAUUGUUAUUAACUGAAGCAAUAAUGACGGAUUAUCACCAUUAUUAUUAUUAUAGAGGUUGUUUUAAGUCUGCUCACAGCCUUUGUUUGCUUGACUUUUAGCUGAUUAUGAGUUAUAAUAUAUCACAUCAGACUGGGGAAGAAAUGGAGCAUUCUUCAUUGAAAUCUCGUUUGCUUCAGAUAAAUAACCUCAUCUCAGUUAUUGUCCAUCAAGUGAUUUUAUGUUUAUAACUUGUAAUUCCCCAUUGGGACAAGAGGUUUCCUCUUUGUUUUUGUCCAUUUAGACUGAGAGGUGAUUUGCAGAGCUGAUCCCCCAAGAUGCUUAUGUCUGUUAAGAUAUGUAAAGGAAGAUACUAAAUUGAAAAGAUACAUAAAAUUAGCUCUUAAAGUACCUAAUAACAAAGUUGUUUCUCCAUUAUUUUAGAACAGCCCUCAUGCUUGCAGUGAGGUAUGAAUCACCAGAUAUAAUCAAGCUUCUUAUUGAAGGAGGUAUUGAUGUCUUUGCGGAAGAUGUGGAUGGAGGGACUGCAUUAUGUUAUUCUGUUGCUAGUGGCUGCAAUAUGUAAGUGUUUUAAUUAAAGUACUAAUCAACGUUAAGUGGAGGUUAAAAAUAAGCACAACUAUUGCAUCUUAUAUAUCAUUUAAGUGUUCAUAGUUCAAAUAUGUUAGGAAUGGCAGUUACUGAGUCCCUUCAUCAGCCAUUAACACUGCAAAAGUCUAGUCUAAUUAGCAAUAAUGAUUAGUGCAGGACAUAUUACAGAACUUUUUUUCUUUUUCUGCUGGUGUUAUGGUGUUGAGGAUUGAAUCCAGGUUCUCAAGCAUGACCUCUCCCACUGAGAUACACCUCCAGCCCAUAUCUCAGAACUUUAAAAUGUUUAUUCUUAUAGAUCUCAGCAUUAUCCACUUCAUUCCAAGUAUAAUGUCUCCUAUGGCAACUGUGAUUUUUCUUAUUAGGUAUUUGCAGUUUUAAAUGCUCAGUUUAGUAAAAAAUCUCCUUACUUUCCUCUGGGACCUAGUUUUUCCACUAUCG
rnacentral:lncRNA from 1 species